rnacentral:rRNA from 1 species
CCUACGGGUGGCAGCAGUGGGGAAUAUUGCACAAUGGGGGAAACCCUGAUGCAGCGACGCCGCGUGAGUGAAGAAGUAAGUCGUUAUGUAAAGCUCUAGCAGCAGGGAAGAAAAUGACGGUACCUGAGUAAGAAGCCGCGGCUAACGACGUGCCAGCAGCCGCGGUGAUACGUAGGGGGCAAGCGUUAUCCGGAUUUACUGGGGGGAAAGGGAGCGUAGACGGCAGUGCAAGUCUGGAGUGAAAGGCGGGGGCUCAACCCCCGGACUGCUCUGGAAACUGUACGGCUGGAGUGCAGGAGAGGUAAGUGGAAUUCCUAGUGUAGCGGUGAAAUGCGUAGAUAUUAGGAGGAACACCAGUGGCGAAGGCGGCUUACUGGACUGUAACUGACGUUGAGGCUCGAAAGCGUGGGGAGCAAACAGGAUUAGAUACCCGGGUAGUC